UGGCUGUUGGAGGGGGCAGGC
rnacentral:miRNA from 1 species